rnacentral:lncRNA from 1 species
AGCCUGCAGAGCUUUGAUGCUGAGCCAGUCAGAAAGGUUGAGUACAAACUGGUCAUCUGGGAACGCUAUUGCCU